AUUGAACGCUGGCGGCAGGCCUAACACAUGCAAGUCGAGCGGAGCGGCGGACGGGUGAGUAACACGUGGGUGACCUGCCCUGCACUUCGGGAUAAGCCUGGGAAACUGGGUCUAAUACCGGAUAGUGUGGGAUGGGCCCGCGGCCGAUCGGCUUGUUGGUGGGGUAAUGGCCUACCAAGGCGGCGACGGGUAGCCGGCCUGAGAGGGUGGACGGCGACAUUGGGCCUGAGACACGGGCCAGACUCCUACGGGAGGCAGCAGUGGGGAAUAUGGCACAAUGGGCGGAAGCCUGAUGCAGCGACGCCGCGUGGGGGAUGACGGCCUUCGGGUUGUAAACUCCUUUCACCAUCGACGCGGUAGAUGGAGAAGAAGCACCGGCUAACUACGUGCCAGCCGCCGCGGUAAUAC
rnacentral:rRNA from 1 species